UACGUAGGGGGCUAGCGUUGUCCGGAAUCAUUGGGCGUAAAGAGCGUGUAGGCGGCCCGGUAAGUCCGCUGUAAAAGUCAAAGGCUCAACCUUUGAAUGUCAGUGGAUACUGCCGGGCUAGAGUCCGGAAGAGGCGAGUGGAACUCCUGGUGUAGCGGUGGAAUGCGCAGAUAUCGUAAGGAAGACCAGUGGCGAAGGCGAGUCUCUGGACAGCAACUGACGCUGAGGCACGAAGGCCAGGGGAGCAAAGGCGUAGUAUAC
rnacentral:rRNA from 1 species